rnacentral:tRNA from 1 species
GCCAGCGUGUAGGACAUGAUCCCGCCGUUGCUGAUGCCGGUGGCGAAUACGGCUGACGGGUUGAUGCCGAUGUUCUUGGCGAUGUCGGCG